rnacentral:rRNA from 1 species
AUUGAACGCUGGCGGCAGACUUAACACAUGCAAGUCGAGCGAGCGGCGGACGGGUGAGUAAUGUCUGGGAAACUGCCUGAUGGAGGGGGAUAACUACUGGAAACGGUAGCUAAUACCGCAUACCAUCAGAUGUGCCCAGAUGGGAUUAGCGAGUAGGUGGGGUAAUGGCUCAACUAGGCGACGAUCCAUAGCUAGUCUGAGAGGAUGACAAGCCACACUGGAACUGAGACACGGUCCAGACUCCUACGGGAGGCAUCAGUGGGGAAUAGUGCACAAGGAGCGCAAGCCGGAUUCAGCCAUGCCGCGUGUGUGAAGAAGGCCUUCGGGUUGUAAAGCACUUUCAGCGAGGAGGCGUUACUCGCAGAAGAAGCACCGGCUAACUCCGUGCCAGCCGCCGCGGUAAUAC